GCAACAACGACUUUAAUGAUUUUGGGUCGAAGCGUAAUUGUAAAGUUUGUUAUGCGUUAUGAGGUAAAGCAUUGUCUGACAAGGCAAUGUCUAGAGGCAAUCGUAUGUGGCUUGGUUGAAGCUGUUUGC
rnacentral:antisense_RNA from 1 species